CCGUAGGUGAACCUGCGGAAGGAUCAUUAUUGAAUACGUUGGCGUCUGAUGCUGGCUCUUCACUGAGCAUGUGCUCGGCCCAUCUAUUUAUCUUCUCUUGUGCACCUUUUGUAGUCUUUGAAAAAGUGAACCUCUCGCAGCAAUGCGGUUUGGGUGGAUGGGCGCGAGCCCUUCGCCUGCUUACUUUCUUCAAGGCUAUGUUUUCAUAUACACUAUAAAGUUACAGAAUGUCAUUUAAAGAUUGUGCUAGUCGCAGUCAUUAAACAUAUACAACUUUCAGCAACGGAUCUCUUGGCUCUCCCAUCGAUGAAGAACGCAGCGAAAUGCGAUAAGUAAUGUGAAUUGCAGAAUUCAGUGAAUCAUCGAAUCUUUGAACGCACCUUGCGCCCUUUGGUAUUCCGAAGGGCAUGCCUGUUUGAGUGUCAUUAAAUUCUCAACCCAAAAGCUUUUUAUCGAGCGUUUGUGGCUUGGACGUGGGGGUUUGCUGGCUUCCUUCAGUGGAUGGUCUGCUCCUCUUAAAUACAUUAGCGGGAUCUCUUGUUGACCGUCACUUGGUGUGAUAAUUAUCUAUACCACUUGGCUAGUAAGCAAAUCUAUGGGAAUCCGCUCAUAACCGUCUUCGGACAACUCUUGACAUUUGACCUCAAAAUCA
rnacentral:rRNA from 1 species